ACAGCUAUAGCCGUCAAGUUGAGUUACGGUUCUUUAGUGUGAAUAGAAAGAUAGAGGAAAGAGAAAGAUGCACGUGGAUGAGAAAAAGUUGAAGUCAUGUGAGGUUUUUAAUCGUAAAACCAUCAGAAUUGUUCAUUUUAAUCAUAUGGAUAGCAUUUAAUCCUCCCAUCUCUCAUUAUAAGAAUUCCUCUCACUUGAAACAUUCUGCAUAACACAAAGCUGCUCAAUAUAUAUAAGUAAGACUACAUCAUACAUAAAAGGAUCAUAUGAUGACAAAUUGGUAGAGUAUAGCAGAUAUCCUAAUGUUUUUUGACUUUUUUCAAUUAGCACUAAUAUUGUUACAACCAAAAAGAAGUGAGUCAUUAACUAGUUAAGUGUAGUAGACUAGCUAGUAGUAAUUGUCAUUGAUACUAGCUAGUUGAAGUAGUAACCAAACUCAAUCUGACAGAUGGUUAGUUUAUGCUGCUGGAGCAUAAUCAUAGCCACCAUCGUCAUCGUCGUCUCCUUCAUUGCAAACUGCAAGAGGAUAGUCAUAACAAACAGCACCUUCAUCAUUUUCAUUCUUCUUGCUCCAUGAAACAACAACUCUGGAAACAAAUGACAUUUUUUUUAAGAGCAAAAUAUUGUUUCUAGCAGAGAAGAAUAUUUAAGAUAUAGUAAUUAAUGUAUGAUUGUUGAGAUGUUUGAGU
rnacentral:lncRNA from 1 species